GACGAACGCUGGCGGCGUGCUUAACACAUGCAAGUCGGACGAGACCCCUUCUUCGGGAGGGUGUUCUAGUGGCGAACGGGUGAGUAACACGUGGGCAACCUGCCCUCAGCUCUGGGAUAACUCCAAGAAAUUGGGGCUAAUACCGGAUAUGACUGCUGACCGCAUGGUCUGGUGGUGGAAAGAUUUAUCGGCUGGGGAUGGGCCCGCGGCCUAUCAGCUUGUUGGUGGGGUAGUGGCCACCAAGGCGACGACGGGUAGCCGGCCUGAGAGGGUGACCGGCCACACUGGGACUGAGACACGGCCCAGACUCCUACGGGAGGCAGCAGUGGGAAUAUUGCGCAAUGGGCGGAAGCCUGACGCAGCGACGCCGCGUGGGGAUGACGGCCUCGG
rnacentral:rRNA from 1 species